rnacentral:rRNA from 1 species
GACGAACGCUGGCGGCGUGCUUAACACAUGCAAGUCGAACGGAAAGGCCCUGCUUUUGUGGGGUGCUCGAGUGGCGAACGGGUGAGUAACACGUGAGUAACCUGCCCUUGACUUUGGGAUAACUUCAGGAAACUGGGGCUAAUACCGGAUAGGAGCUCCUGCUGCAUGGUGGGGGUUGGAAAGUUUCGGCGGUUGGGGAUGGACUCGCGGCUUAUCAGCUUGUUGGUGGGGUAGUGGCUUACCAAGGCUUUGACGGGUAGCCGGCCUGAGAGGGUGACCGGCCACAUUGGGACUGAGAUACGGCCCAGACUCCUACGGGAGGCAGCAGUGGAGAAUAUUGCACAAUGGGCGGAAGCCUGAUGCAGCAACGCCGCGUGCGGGAUGACGGCCUUCGGGUUGUAAACCGCUUUCGCCUGUGACGAAGCGUGAGGGACGGUAAUGGGUAAAGAAGCACCGGCUAACUACGUG